rnacentral:misc_RNA from 1 species
GCAAUGAAGUAGAAGAAGCAAGAGAGAAAAAGGCAGAAUUCGAUGCAUCCGAGAUAGAAUACGUAAGCUACGGAGGCGAACACCACUUACCGUUAAUCAUGGGCCUCGUCGACCAAGAACUCAGCGAGCCCUACUCCAUCUUCACUUACCGUUACUUCGUUUAUCUAUGGCCUCAGCUCUCUUUCUUGGCAUUUCACAAAGGUAAAUGCGUGGGGACUGUAGUGUGCAAGAUG